rnacentral:lncRNA from 1 species
GUUGCCAAUGCUGCCAUCCCAACCUGUUCUAUCUGCUUUGUUGUUCGAGCAACAACACUUUUGAUAAUGCUAGCCAUCCUUGUUAGUUUGUAUUGCAAAACUCAUGUUCAUAUAGAGGAGAAAAAACGUAUUAAGUUGCAGCGAUGAACUUGCACAGUAAUCAAAUGAACUAAUUAAGUUAGGGCUGGGAUGCACGAGGAAUGACUAGGUGUGAGAAGCUUGUGCAACCAGCACCAAAUAAGAUGUUCAAGCAAGCUUUCAUGGCACUCCCGACAACAUCCUUCUACCUAGGAGCAACUUGUGGUCAACUAAUUGUUGGUUCCUACUAUCAUAAUGCCGAGCUACUUGGAAGUUUUCUUUCACUAAACAUUAAUCAUGCCCUCCUUUUAAACUAGAUUUAUACUUCAAAGACAAGUCAAGUCUAAACGUUCAUGCCUUUUCAUUCUCCUUUUCUCUGUCUUAUUGUUAGUCUAAAACCUCGUAGUUGCAGCAGUCAUCGGAAUAUUAGACACACAUUGCUACAACGGCAUGUUGCGUGUUGGCUAGGUUGUUGCUGCAGUGCAUUGGAUGACAAACCAUAACAAAAUAUAACAUUUGACAAAAUUAUUUUGAGACCUGAAUCAUAUCUUCAUUAGAACCAAACCCUUUUCUCCUAUUUCUAAGUUAACAAAAAAAAUUAUACUUUUUGUGACCGCUAUGGCU